AUCUGAAAAAUGCAAGCACAAAAAAAUAAAUAAAUAAAGUCAAAGGAAAUUAAUGCAGAUCUAUCAUCCAAUAAUAUUUCAAACAACUUCUGUGAAAAGAAUGUAACUCGAUGGAAUUGGUGAUCAUCAAUGUUCCACCAACGAGAAAGCUGGCGAAUUUAGGUAAAUAGUUGAAAAUAAGUCCAGAAAUCAUGCUAUUGUUGGCUGAGGGAACUACUGUCUCCUUGUCAAUCUCAUAAUAUUUGCCUUGGCAUAUAUAGCAAGUAGAGGAUCUUACUCUAGUAUGUCUUAUUAAUAUUUUCUAAACUUUUCCAUGUAGCAGGUAAUCAACCUUAGUAGUUUGACAUUGCAAAUGAAAAUAAAUUCAACAUGAAAUAUACAAAGCAAAAAUACCUGUAACAGUAGAG
rnacentral:lncRNA from 1 species